AGAAAGUUAAAUAGGUUUAAGCAUGCAGACUCUUGACAGUCUCUGAAUCUUUGCUGCAUUGCACAACUGUAGAUUUGACAUUAACAUGUUAUGAAAAAUCAGAAUUUCAUUCUUAUUUCUUUAUUUCUUUCUCCAGCAACACCAAAGGGUUCUUCAGUCAGAGCUGCUAACAGCCUCGAAUCAGGAAUGCACGAAGAAUGUGAACUCUUCACUUCUGCUAUGGGUACCUGUAUAUAGCUGUGCUUUGGGGAAGGGCUCUGCUAACAGUCCUUGACAUACGAGGCAACAAGGAAGAGAAAACAGCUAUUAGGACGAG